GCCUAUUUAGCUCAAGUGGUUAGAGCAUCCGUUUCAUAAGCGGGAGGUUGCUAGUUCAAAUCUAGUAGUAGGCA
rnacentral:tRNA from 3 species